rnacentral:RNase_P_RNA from 1 species
AAAGUAGGACAGUUGGUCGCAAGUAGGCAUACGUGCCUAUUUUGAGGAAAGUCUGGACUCUAAGGACAAGAUGCUGGCUAACUGCCAGAAGGAGAGAUCCUUGAACAGGGCCAUAGAAACGGAAACCGCCGACUGGCAAGGGUGGAAAGGUAGGGUAAGAGCCUACCAGUGUUAGAGUGAUCUAAUAGCUUGGUAACCUCCAUCUUGAGCAAGGUCAAAUGGGAAGGCCAUAGGUAGUCCGCCAAGUGAGCUGAUGCUCCGCCUUCCGGGUAGACCGCGUAGAUAAAUGACCAACUAAACAGAAUCCGGCUUAUAGUCCUACUGUUUAU